UAGCAGAGGCAUUCCCAUGUCUUAGAGCACACAGAGUCAUCCAGUGCACUCACAGGAAUGCCAUUUAACUUUGCCUUUCUCUAAGCCAGGUGCCAGCCCUAAUAAAGGCCACAGCCUUGGAAUCAGGAUGAAGCUGGAGCCUGAGGGAGCCAGGCACACUCAGGAGAGGGCAGGUAGGAAUGCUGUGCCCCAAGCCGGGGUGCUUUGGUUUCUGCUGAGCAGGGCUUGCCCUAUUCAAGGACUUUGCAGUGUCCCUUGGUACACCAGUGCAAUGGUUUCUGCUGGGAAGGAAAGGAUGAGCGUUGAAGACAGAGGCAACUAAUGCACCUUAAACACCUUUGCUGUGUCUCUGUCCUUGUUUGAGAGGUGACCAUCCACACCGUGGAAGGGGACGAGAUUAUUUCAAUUUUAUUUCUACUACAGGUUUUUUUGAUCCAUUAAUGUAUUUAAAACCACUUUUUUUAUCGUGCCCUGCCGUACUGUCUGUUGCUGUCUCAACAAUGGAUGUAUCUGUGAGAGGACAUCACUCUCCUGGGCAGUGAGUGCUAGAGGACAAAGCCCUUAGCUUAGCAUUGUUGGGACCAAACAAGGCAAGGAGUCAUGGGUUUUCUUAUUUUACUUCUUCCCCCAUUUGUCAUCCAGACUUCAAAAUGAAGACCUGUAAAUGCCUAGCUCUGUCUUGUGUUUAAUGUGUUUUUAUUUGUAUUUAUGUAACCGCAAAAAGCAGUGAAAGAAGAAAUGUGACUGGAUCUCACUAUUACUGUGUGAGGGCUUAUUUUAAAGGCUGGUGUAUUUAUGUUCUCUUUUUCCACUCCAAGCUUGACUUUUCCCCUCGUUUUUCCAGGUCUGCUGCAUUGGGUGUCCCAAGGAGGGCUGGGUUCCUCAGCAGGGGUCUUAGGAGUUGGUGCUGAUUCUACUUUUUCUGAGGGUGUAUCGAAGUGUGCUAGCAGAAUGAUAGUUUUCUGCACUGGAAAGCUUUCCCUCACUGCCAUCAGUGCACGGAUGUGUUUGAAUUGUGGAACCAGACGGACUAAGGAAAGCCAACACCCGUAGCAGAUUUCUGUUUGCUCUGUGUCUGUGAGAAGCGGGCUGUGUGCUGGACAGGGAGAGGCGCUGUUGGAGUGGCAUCGGCGCCAGGUGUGAGUGUGAGGAUGAUGAGGGGCUCGGAGCAGCCCAGGUGUGAGUGUGAGGAUGAUGAGGGGCUCGGAGCAGCCCAGGUGUGAGUGUGAGGAUGAUGAGGGGCUCGGAGCAGCCCAGGUGUGAGCUGUGAGGAUGAUGAGGGGGUGGCUCUUGCCGGGGCGGUUUUAACGGGGGGAGAGUUUGCCUCUGUACAUUUUUGCAUGGAGCUGCUGAGUGGAGGGGUUUAUGGGGCGCUCCCGGCGCUGUCUCACGGAAGGACUGCGAGAGCUUCUCCCAGGGUCGGCGGGAACACCCGGAUUCGCGCUUGGAUACGUCCAAGCAUCGCUUAAAGGAGGUGCCGAGGGACGAAUCUUUGUGCCGGGGAGCAGCAGCCGAACAGGAUGGCGGAGACAAUUUCCGGUCCUCCCAGCUGCCGUCUCUAUGGUUUCAACGUGCCAGAAGGGUUUUCCGGUCGUCCCGUCCCUUCUCUCUAUGGUUUCAAGAUGGCGGAGACUAAUUCCGGUCCUCCCAGCUGCCGUCUCUAUGGUUUCUACGUGCCAGAAGAAUUUUCCGGUCGUCCCGUCCCUUUUCUCUAUGGUUUCAAGAUGGCGGAGACAAUUUCCGGUCCUCCCAGCUGCCGUCUCUAUGGUUUCUACGUGCCAGAAGGGUUUUCCGGUCGUCCCGUCCCCCGCCUCUAUGGUUUCAAGAUGGCGGAGAAAAUCCCCGGUCCUCCCAGCUGUCGUCUCUAUGGUUUGAACGUGCCAGAAGGGUUUUUCGGGUCGUCCCGUCCCCCGUCUCUAUGGUUUCAAGAUGGCGGGGACAAUUUCUGGUCCUCCCAGCUGCCGUCUCUAUGGUUUCAACGUGCCAGAAGGGUUUAUCCGGUCGUCCCGUCCCUUCUCUCUAUGGUUUCAUGAUGGCGGAGACAAUUUUCGGUCCUUCCAGCUGCCGUCUCUAUCGUUUCAACGUGCCAGAAGGGUUUCCCGGUCGUUUUUAUUUGGUUAGAGGCAGGAGUUUUAUUUUAAAUAAUAGAAGUGUUAUAGGAAUGUGAAUCUUAAGAUAGAAAUAGAUAAUAAAUAUAUAAAGGGAGAUUGCUAAACUAUGACUACAAAUUGAACUAUAAAUAUAGGUAAGUAAUAUGAAGAGUUGUAGUAUAGAAUAUAAAUAACAUGAUACGGCAAUA